rnacentral:rRNA from 1 species
UGCCAGCAGCCGCGGUAAUACGGAGGGAGCGAGCGUUAAUCGGAAUUACUGGGCGUAAAGCGCGCGUAGGCGGCUUUGUCAGUCGGAUGUGAAAGCCCUCGGCUCAACCGGGGAAUUGCAUUCGAUACUGGCGGACUCGAGGAUGGUUGGGGUGAGUGGAACUCCUGGUGUAGAGGUGAAAUUCGUAGAUAUCAGGAGGAACACCGAUGGCGAAGGCGGCUUUCUGGACCGAUACUGACGCUGAGACGCGAAAGCGUGGGGAGCAAACAGGAUUAGAUA